AGAAUUUGAUCUUGGUUCAGGAUGAACGCUGGCGGCGUGCCUAACACAUGCAAGUCGAACGAAGCAUACGGACCGGAGAUUCGUCGAAGGACCGUAUGACUUAGUGGCGGACGGGUGAGUAAUGUAUGAGCAACCUGCCUUUCAGAGGGGGACAACAGUUGGAAACGACUGCUAAUACCGCGUAACGUACCGUGGGGGCAUCCUCGUGAUACCAAAGGAGCAAUCCGCUGAAAGAUGGGCUCAUAUCUGAUUAGCUUGUUGGCGGGGUAACGGCCCACCAAGGCGACGAUCAGUAGCCGGACUGAGAGGUUGAACGGCCACAUUGGGACUGAGAUACGGCCCAGACUCCUACGGGAGGCAGCAGUGGGGAAUAUUGGGCAAUGGGCGAAAGCCUCGACCCAGCAACGCCGCGUGAAGGAAGAAGGUCUUCGGAUUGUAAACUUCUUUUAUGAGGGACGAAGGACGUGACGGUACCUCAUGAAUAAGCCACGGCUAACUACGUGCCAGCCGCCGC
rnacentral:rRNA from 1 species